GCAUGUCGAUUUACUGUUGCUUAAUUACUACAAUAUGUUUUAUUCUCAUUUUGGGAACUUGAAGUUUUGUGAUAAUUGAAAACUCGAUUAACAUAAAUUGUGAUCGUAAUUUAAGGUAUUGUAUUGGGGUAUUUUCAUAAUAUUCUAAUUAGAAUUAUGUAUAACUUUAAAAGGAGGUGAGGGCUAUAUAUAUAGAUGUAUAUGUAUGCAUUUUGGGUAGCACACAACUAUUUGGGCAGCCACCUUUUGGAGACAGCUGUGCAUUGUGAUAAACAUCACUUUUGAGACUAUAUUUUGACACCUCUUCUAGUCAAAUUUGUCUCACCUGAAGUAUAAGAACCUUAGAGCAUUAUCUAACAAGUUGUUCUUCAAAAUCAUAAGAGAAAAACGUGGCCCUUUUGGCUGGAAUUCGAGACACACACUUCUUUUUGGUAAGUGGUAAAAUCUGUUUUGGAGCUUGGUAGGGUUUAGUAUUUAAAGCAUAACUUGAGUUAUAGAAGUUUGUUUACAGUGAAUAAAUAUGAUCUGGAAAGCUAAUUCAUAUACCUACAACUUUUAUGUUUAUGUAAAACUCUAAUUUAUCUGUUAUGUAUUCGAAAUAUGGGACGCAACAUAGGAAAAGUUCUGUCCAGAGUUCGAAAGUAGAAAUCCUGUAUGGACAAUUGUUAGUGUUUUGAAUAUAUCCUUUUGUAAAAAAUAUAUUUUACGGUGAUUCUUGUGUUUUUGCAACCUUAAGAGAUGUACCUACAUCUUUCAUGAAGGUUGAAAAGUCUAGUUUUGCCGUUUUCCUUUCCAAAUCUAAGUUGCGACAUAAGGUACUAGGCUGGCCAGAAUCACUGUUUUGGGAGCAUAGUCAUAAUUGUACAGGUUAAGCUUACUUGUGAUGAUAAUCCUGUUUUACUUCGACAUUAUUGAGAUACUAGGAAUUAAAGAAGUUAUUUAAUUGUAUUUUUAAGGUUGUAUAUACUUGUGAAAAAGUUGAAGACCUUGAAAUGUUGGUUGGUCUACGGUCUGAACUCGCGAAGUUGUGUUGGACUGUUUCUUUGCUAAAGCACUGAGGUUUGUGUAUAAACUUGUACUUGCACUCUUUUAACUGCUGGUAUAUCUGAAGGUUGAUCUUGGUACCUUGGUUACCUCUUGUCACUUUGCAUUGUCGUGUUGGUAUCCUUUAAGACGUUAAAGAUGCUUGUGUAACUCGCCCACUUGUACGGAUUGUUUGAUCACUUGGCACUCUUGUUGGGACCUUGUCCUUCUUGUGGCUGUGACUUUGUCACUAUUGGCAUGCCUCUUGAUUCAGAUCAUUUGCCAUCUUGACUCUGGAUUUUUAGUCCGUCUUAAGAAUGGAAGUUGUCCCUUUUAAGUACGAACUAGAAAGCCAUUUUUAAUAUGGUUCUUGGUUCUCUUGAUUAUUGGGCUUUGACCCUUCUUGAUACAGGGCAUCGGCCUUUCUUGAUACCUGCUUGUGCUUGGUGUGACGACAUGAUGUAUAUAUUGGGCGAGCCUUGUUAUUGAAUCUCUUGGAAAAUGGCGAUAUGAGCGUUCUUGACAUUUGGAUCUUUAAAUAGCGAACUUGAUACUCUUAUUAUAUUGUUUACUUGAUUUAAUUAUUAUGUUUCAAUGGUGCUGCCCAUGACUUGAGAAAGUUAACUUGGUGAUUCGGAUGGCUCCGAACCUAUAGUUUUUACAACACUAAGCUAUAUACUUAGUGAUAGUUGUUUCUAUCGUAUGGAAUGAUCGAGUGGUUGCAUGAAGCUGGCCAUUGGAGAUGGAACUUUUAAGAGCCUUAAGGAAGAUCACAUUUGCAUUUAGGCAUCUAUUUUUGUAUAAACCUUGGGACUUGUACAUGAUCUAUGUGUUGUAUAUUUACAUAAAAUUUUGAGGACUAAUUUGAUCAUGUCACCAUGGGUUGUAAUAUAAGUAUGUCUAUAUGUUUGGUUCUUUUGGGGUGUGUAAACCCAAGUCUUGUAAUAUAUUAAUUUACCACUAAUUUUGAAUGAUUGUGUGAAGCAUGAACGACCUAGUUUGGGUACUCGGAAGUUGGUAAUAUUCUUUUUAUGCCAUUUAUUUUUUUACUAGUGUGAGGACAAUAUAUGCAUAAAAAUCUCAUGAGUUAUUGGCUUAUAUUAUUUCGGAAGGGUCGCUACAGGUGCUGGUAUCAGAGCCUAGGUUUUUGGUUCUAGGACUUUUGCUAUGAAUUACUUGUAUACUUGUUCGCUUUCUAAAAAGGCUAUAUUUGGAUUAUUUGUUCCCUUACAUAGUUUAUAAUAUUUUUAUCGCAUGUAGAGUGCACAUGUAUCAUGUACAUGUCCUUAAUGCAAUGUGAUAUUCCCUUUUGAAGGAAUUAAGUUAUGGCCUCUUUUUCUGACCGACCCAUGGAAGCUGAUCGUGAAGGUUCGGGUACCUCUGUUCCCAACCUCAUGCACUAGAAGAGGUUGGAGAACCUUUCUCGAAUCAAUAUGUUCCCCACACUAGUGGGUCUGAAAUGGGAAACCAUCAGGGUGUAAGAGUUGGUUCACAUCUUCACAUUAGUCGUGGUACUCAAGCCAUGAAUCCUCCUUUUCAACAAAUGGCUGAAUUCUUCCACCAUAUGGCUGAAACGAUGCAUGAUCCCAACAUGACUAACUUUAAGAAAAUGAGGAAAAUGGGUGGAGUGGAGUUUGAGGGCACCGUUGAUCCCACAGAUGCUGAACAAUGGCUGGAGCGCAUGGAGAGGGUAUUUGAGCAGUUAGAGUGUUCAGAUGUUGCCAAAGUUAAGUAUGUUAUUUCACUAUUACAAAAGGAUGUGUAUGAUUGGUGGGUAAGUGUUCCAAAUGCCAAGGUAAAACUUCUUGUUCUUACUUGGAAUGAUUUUCUUAGGGAAUUUCGUAUGAAGUAUGUCCCACCUGCUUAUUGUGAUGCAAAAGAGAAAAGAGUUUUUGAAUUUUAAGGCAACGAGGCAUGUCUAUUGCUGAGUACCAAUAGAAGUUUCUAAAGGCUCUCUCGUUAUGUUGGGGGUAUUAUUAAAGAGGAAAAAGACAAGUGCAGGAAAUUUGAAGACUGUUUAAAUGAUUCCAUUAGAAAGAAUGUGGCGAUCCUGCAACAUGAGAACUUUUAUAAGUUAGUGUCUGCUGCUUUUACUUGGGAACGACUUGAUAAAGAAGAAGCUAGUAGAAAUGAAAACAAAUUCCGAAAGCCUAGACCAGAUUUUGGGGGUCCAUCAAAAAGGGGAAGGUUUGAUAAUUCUAAGGCUGGUAGUGAUAACAGGCCACCGCAACAAAAGCAAAACAGAUUAGAUUUUUCUUACAGCUAGCACUCCAAAUUAUGGCCAAGGCAAGCCUCGUGUUCCCACUUGUCCACAAUGUGGAAAGAAUCAUUAUGGUACUUGCAGAAAAGCUUCUAGUGCAUGUUUCAAUUGUGGAAGCUUUGAUCAUAAAGUGAAGGAUUGUCCUAAUCCUAAUAAUGCUCCUUCCUUGAGAACUGAAGGCUCAGUUCAUAAGCUUUUUAUUAAUCCUCCUCAAACUAAUAGAGGUGUCAGACCUAAGUACACGUGGACUUAAUCAAGCUAGUGGACAAAGGUCUACUGCACGUGCUUAUGCUAUGAGGAAGAGGGAUGAUCAAGAUGGACAAGACGUGGUUGUUGGUAAAUUUCACUUAUUUUGGCUUAUGUGUGUUUACAUUGAUUGAUCCGGAUUCUACACAUUCCUAUAUUUGUUCAUCACUUGUUCUUCCUGAAAAUGUGAAAUCUGUGAGACUUAAUUAUGAUAUGCUGGUUGAAAGUCCUUUGGGCUAUCAAGUGGUGUGUAAUUGAGAUUACCAAGAUUGUCCCUUCGUGAUUCAAAACCUAGUCUUCCCUGCUGAUUUGAUUGGAAUUUCCUUCAAGAAUUUUGAUGUUAUUAUCGGGAUGGAUUGGCUUUAUAAAUAUCAUGUGGUGGUAGAUUGUAGGUCUAAGCAUGUGACUUUUAAAGAUCCGACAUUUUCACACAUCAUUGUACAAGGUGAAAGAUCAUUGACAUCUAGUAUUAUUUCUGCGGCCUUGGCAAGAAAGUUGAUGCGUCAAGGUUGUGGGGCAUACCUUGCUCACAUAGUUGAUACACGGUUGGAGAGUCCUUGUAUCAAGGACAUACCUGUUGUAUGUGAUUUUCUAGAAGUCUUCCCAGAAAAACCUUCAUCUAUUGCCCUCAGAAAGAGAGGUUGAAUUUCCAAUCGAGCUUAUUCCUGGAUCUACCCCUAUUUCUAUCACUCCUUAUAGAAUGGCUCCGGAAGAAUUAAGAGAAUUAAAAGCUCAAUUGCAAGAACUUCUUGAGAAAGGUUUUAUUCGACCUAGUGUUUCUCCUUGGGACCCCCUGUUUUAUUCGUAAAGAAGAAAUAUGGCACUCUUAGGCUUUGUAUUAACUAUAGACAAUUGAACAGAAUAACAAUCAAGAAUAGAUAUCCACAACCAAGGAUCGAUGACUUGUUUGACCAAUUGAAGAGUGCUAAAGUAUUCUCAAAGAUUGAUUUAAGGUUUGGAUAUCACCAACUGUGUGUUAGAGAGAAGGAUGUUCCUAAAACUGCUUUUAAAACUCGAUAUGGUCAUUACGAAUUUUUGGCGAUGCCAUCUGGAUUGACAAAUGCUCAUGCGGUAUUCAUGGAUCUAAUGAAUCGAGUAUUCAAGUCUUAUCUUGACCAGUUUGUGGUUGUUUUUAUAGAUGAUAUUUUAAUAUUUUCCAGAAGUAGUGAAGACCAUGGUAAACACCUCCGGAUUAUUUUGCAAAUUUUGAAGGAGAAAGAACUUUAUGCUAAACUUUCCAAAGUGUGAAUUUUGGCUUGAUGAAGUGACGUUUCUGGGACAUGUUGUAUCAACCGAAGGCGUGAAGGUGGAUCCUAGUAAGAUACAAGCAGUUGUUGAAUGGAGACCUCCCAAAAGUCCAACCGAGGUAAGAAGUUUCUUAGGCUUAGUAGGAUACUACAGAUAUUUGUGAAAGGCUUUUUCCAUUAUCGCCUCUCCUUUGACUAAGCUCUGUAGAAGGAAGCAAAGUUUAUUUGGGAUGACAAAUGCCAAGAGAGCUUUGAAACUCUCAAAUCCUUGUUGACUCAAGCGCCUAUACAUACUAUACCAAUUGAAGGGAAAGAGUAUGUAGUAUACAGUGAUGCUUCUCACAAUGGUCUAGGAUGCGUUUUGAUGCAAGAAGGGAAGGUUAUUUCUUAUGCCUCUCGGAAAUUAAAACCGCAUGAAUUGAAUUAUCCUACUCAUGAUCUUGAACUUGCUGAUGUAGUGUUUGCUUUAAAAAUAUGGCGGCAUUAUUCGUAUGGAGAGAAAUGUCAUAUAUUCACUGAUCACAAGAGCUUAAAGUACUUGGUUACUCAGAAGGAGCUAAUCCUUCAACAAUGUAGAUGGCUUGAACUCAUCAAGGAUUACGACUGCACGAUUGAUUAUCAUCCAGGUAAAGACAAUGUGGUUGUAGAUGCCUUAAGUCAAAAAUCCUUCACAAGCAUGUCCUUGAGUCCUUUACCCUUGCUUCUUGAGUUAAGAGCGAAGGAGCUAAUCCUUCAACAAUGUAGAUGGCUUGAACUCAUCAAGGAUUACGACUGCACGAUUGAUUAUCAUCCAGGUAAAGACAAUGUGGUUGUAGAUGCCUUAAGUCAAAAAUCCUUCACAAGCAUGUCCUUGAGUCCUUUACCCUUGCUUCUUGAGUUAAGAGCCAUGAAUGUUUGUUUUACACCUGAUUCAAAUGGUUCAGUUAUUGCUAAUUCGCAAGUAAAGCCAAUAUUACUUGAACAGGUAAAGGAAGCACAAAAGUUAGAUGAGAAACUUGUAAAAUUGACCAGAGAAGUUCAAAAUGGGGGAAAACUUGAUUUUUACAUUUAAACAGGAGGAUUGUGUCUUAUUUUAUCAGAACAGGUUAUGCGUCCCUAAUGAUGACAAUUGAGGAAGAAAAGUAUUAGAAUGAAGCACAUACUUCACCAUAUGCAAUGCAUCCUAGAGGUACAGAGAUGUACCAGACCAUCAAAGAACAUUAUUGGUGGAAUGGUGUGAAGAGAGACAUUGCGGAGUUCAUUUCUAAAUGUUUGGUUUGUCAACAUGUAAAGGCAGAACAUCAGGUCCCAGUUGGUUUACUACAGCCCUUGUCGAUGACGGAAUGGAAAUGGGAGAGAAUAACUAUGGACUUUGUUUCUGGACUUCCUUGCACCCAAAGAAAUCAUGAUGCAAUAUGGGUGAUUGUGGACAGGCUAACCAAGAGUGCUCACUUCUUAGCAAUCAGGAUGGAUUACUCACUUGAGCGUUUAGCCGAAUUGUACAUUAAUGAGACUGUAAGACUACAUGGUAUCCCUGUGUCUAUUGUAUCUGACCAAGACCCAAGGUUUACAUCUAGAUUUUGGGGUAGCUUGCAGGAAGCUUUGGGUACUAAGCUGAAAUUUAGCACUUCGUUCCAUCCUCAAACAGAAGGCUAGUCGGAAAGAGUGAUACAAAUUUUGGAGGGUAUGCUUCGAGCUUGCACUAUGGAGUUUGAGGGUAGUUGGGAAAAACACUUGGCUUUGAUAGAAUUUGCUUACAAUAACAAUAAUCAAUAAUCAAUCGAGUAUUGGAAUGCCUCCCUAUGAAGCCUUGUAUGGAAGGAAAUGUCGGACCCCUCUUUGUUGGAGUGAAGUUGGUGACAGAAAGCUUGUUGGUCUUGAAAUUGUCCAACAAACAAAGGACAAGGUUAAAAUUAUCAAGGAUCGUCUAAAGAUUUCUUCGGAUAGACAAAAGUCGUACGCUGAUCUUAAAAGGUGUGACAUUGAAUAUCAAGUGGGAGAUAAAGUAUUCCUAAAGGUGUCUCCAUGGAAAAAGAUUAUGAGAUUUGGCCAAAAAGGAAAACUUAGUCCCCAAUUUAUUGGACCUUAUGAGAUACUUGAAAGGGUUGGACCAAUUGCAUAUAAAUUAGCUUUGCCACCGAAGUUAGAGAAGAUCCACAAUGUCUUUCAUGUUUCUAUGCUCAGAAGAUAUCGUUCUGAUUCAUCGCAUGUUCUUUCGGUUGAAUCUAUUGAGAUUAAUCCUGACUUGACUUAUAAUGAAGAACCUAUCCAAAUUGAAGCUCGAGAAGUAAAGCAACUUAGAAAUAAGAGAAUCCCCUUAGUAAAGGUACUUUGGAGGAACCAUUCGGGAAAGGAAGCUAGUUGGGAAACAGAAGAAAACAUGAGGACCCAGUAUCCGCACUUGUUCCGGGACUAGUGUAAGGUAAAUUUCGAGACAAAAUUUCUUUAAGGGGGAGAGAGUUGUAACACCCCUAAAUAUUAACCAAGAGUCGAAUGUCGAUUUACUAUUGCUUAAUUACUACAAUAUGCUUUAUUCUCAUUUUGGGAACUUGAAGUUUUGUGAUAAUUGAAAACUUGCUUAACAUAAAUUGUGAUCGUAAUUUAAGGUAUUGUAUUGAGGUAUUUUCGUAAUAUUCUAAUUAGAAUUAUGUAUAACUUUAAAAGGAGGUGAGGUAUAUAUAUAUAUAGGUGUAUAUGUACGCAUUUUGGGUAGCACACAACUAUUUGGGCAGCCACCUUUUGGAGACAGUUGUGCAUUGUGAUAAACAUCACUUUUGAGACUAUAUUUUGACACCUCUUCUAGUCAAAUUUGUCUCACCUGAAGUAUAAGAACCUUAGAACAUUAUCUAACAAGUUGUUCUUCAAAAUCACAAGAGAAAAAC
rnacentral:lncRNA from 1 species